UACGAAGGGGGCUAGCGUUGCUCGGAAUCACUGGGCGUAAAGCGCACGUAGGCGGCUUCUUAAGUCAGGGGUGAAAUCCUGGGGCUCAACUCCAGAACUGCCUUUGAUACUGGGAGGCUCGAGUCCGGAAGAGGUGAGUGGAACUGCGAGUGUAGAGGUGAAAUUCGUAGAUAUUCGCAAGAACACCAGUGGCGAAGGCGGCUCACUGGUCCGGUACUGACGCUGAGGUGCGAAAGCGUGGGGAGCAAACAGG
rnacentral:rRNA from 1 species